UACAACUGAUUGUAAGCCUGAGCAUAGAGGUGCGUUUUUAAUCUAGAUUUAAAUAUUGAGACUGUGUCUGACUCCUUUAUAAAUUUUGGAAGCUGGUUCCACAGUAGUGGGGCCCUGUAGGAGAAAGCCCUACCACCUUUUAGGUUCUUGGAAAUUCUUGGGACUACCAAGUAGCCUGCGUCUUGAGAUCGGAGUGACCUUGUGGGCUUAUAAGGUAGGAGCAGGUUCGAUAUGUACACAGGUGCAUGUCCAUGCAGAGCUUUAAAAGUCAGGAGCAAAACCUUGAAGUCUAUCCUAUGCUUAAUGGGUAGCCAGUGAAGUGACGCUAGUACUGGUGUAAUGUGCUCAUACUUCUUAGUUGUGGUCAAGAUACGAGCAGCUGCAUUCUGCACAAGCUGGAGACUCUUUAACAAGUUAUUAGGGCAGCCAGAAAGCAGGGCGUUACAGUAGUCUAACCUAGACGUAACAAACGCAUGGAUCAAUUUUUCAGCAUCCCCGACUGACAGGAAAUGUCUCAUUUUAGCUAAGUUGCGCAGCUGAAAGAAGGCAAUUCUGGAUAUGACUGAGUCUGGAUAGUUCUGAGUUUUACUCAGUGCAGUUAUCCAGCUGACUCUGUGAAACAGGGCCUAGAAUAGCCAAAUACCAAACAAGGAAAAAUACAAAAUAGCUGCACGGGCACUACGGAGUAGUUACUGUAUGUUCCCACGCACUGGGAAGGGAUGCACUCAGCGUAAAAGUCGUUAUAAACAUUGCCUAAUUAAUGUUACCAUCUCUAUGGAAUCAUUCAUGUUGCUAAAAAUGCUAUUUUCAUGUCUGACCACUUCAUCUCUUUGCUUGACAUUUUGCUUGUAGCGCUCGAGGGUGCGUCCUCAACAGAGGUGUGGGUGGGGUUGAGGAUGAAAAAGAUGUGAGUGGGGUUUUCAAACCUGGGUCUACAAGGGCCAAACAUUUUCACAUAGUAUACCUUUAACCUGUUGAAUCCGAGGGAUGCAAAUUGUAUCAAAAAGCACUCCCUUUAAUCUCUGUCGAGUAACUCUUAUUUCUGAAGGUAGGAUCAUUUUCUUUUCUUUUUUGUUAUGCAGGGGAGACGUGCCACACUCAAAUAUGUUGAAUCUACUGACAUUAAAGCCAGGGCUGCAUUUGAAAACUACGCCUGCCUUUUGAUAUGUUUACAUGGUUUCUUCACCAUGAGCAGUAGCUGCUGAAAACAAGCUAACAACGAAAAAGUCAUGAAAAACCUGGAAAAGUCAUUGAAAUGUAAAAUGCAAUUUCCAGGUCCUGGAAAAGUUAUGGAAAAUAAUAUUUUUUGAAAAGUUUUGUAAAAGUAAUGGAAAUAUAGAUAAAGUUGCAUCAAAUAUAAUUACUAAUUAAUCCAAUCAUAAAAAUAGUAUGUAUAGCGUAGUAAUAAAACGUAAAUUGGCACGUAACCUUCGCGGUAUUUUGGUGGUGUGAGAAGUUAAUUCGGUCCGGCUCAGUCUGUUUACAGGCAGGCUUCUACUGAUGUAGCAGUUAGUAAACGUAGGCCCUACUGUGCCGACAAUAUGCCAGGGAAGUGCAGCUUCAAUAAUAUAUCAGGGCUCGAAAUUAACUUUUUUACUUGGUAGCACUGGUGCUCCCAAUUUCAAAAAGUUAGGAGCACUCACCAAAAUGUAAGGAGCACCAACAAUAUGCAAUAGAUUUUUUAUUGAUAAAAAACGACAAUAUAAUAGAACGGUUUACAACAGUUAAACUGUCACGCCUAAAAUGUGUCGACUCUUCGAGGAAUUGCGUGUUAUGCAUUCAUUGUUAUGCAUUUCUUGUCACAUUAAUCCCGCUAAUUAAAUCAACCGCCAGUAAACUGCAUCGGAGAAAAUAGCUGUUUCAACCGGGUCGCUACACCAAACAUUACAUCAACGUUUAAAAAAAAUGCCGUAAUCGUUCGCUUCAACUUUUCAGCUUUCGAUAACGCUAAUAAAUUGAACAUAAACUUUUGUCUUCAGGUAACAUUAGUCAACGCGUUAGCUCUCUGUGUCGCGUGACAGUGGAGUGCAGUGAAAGGAAGUGAUUGAAGGCUAAUAAUAUUAACCAAUUUAAAAUCAGCAUUAAAGGUAAGAAUGUCAAGCUCACGAUUGGUUAGAAGGGUCACCGUCAGCUUACAAGGCACAUAUACUGAGUGUACUAGCUAGCGAAUGUACAGCGAAAGAGACGUUCGACUGGAUAAAGAAAAAAAAAAAAAAAAAAAAGGUUGCACCAGGCCAAUUAUUUGCACUCGCACAAAUGCUCCCAAUUAUAUUUCGAGGUCGAACAGAUUAAAUUUCGGGAGCAUAUGCGACCAAAAUGUUCGCAAUUUCGAGCCCUGUUUGAGACAUUGACAAAAAUGUUAAACUAUUCGAAUUAAAAUAUGAGAGAAUGUAUCUAAGUGUUUCUGUCUGGUGUUUAUUUGAUUUAGAGAGGCACCAUAUGUUUCAGAUGCAGACCUAAUUUUACUUAGUGUUACAAUAAAUAAUUUUAAAUCGUCCCGCUGAGAUAAAGUCAUUUGUUUUGGUCAUGGAAAUUCAGUUCAAGGUUUGUAUGAACCCUGAUUAUAAUUAGCAAAGGCAGUAUUUCAUUCUAUUAGUUCUGGAGGUGACAGUGCACUUUCUGGGGAUGUGGAUUUUUAUUUCCAUGCAAUGUUUCAAUUCAAUGGACCCAGUCAAGGACAACAUAAAUCCAACACGAAUACUAUUUAAGAUACUAAUAAGUUAUGUGUAUUUAAUGCUUGUGUAAUAAAAUACGAACAUUACUAGCUACUUAUACUCUACUGCUAUUUACUAUUAGAGCUAUUGAACCAUUGUUUGACAUGCAAUACAAAACCUGCAGUUCUCACAUUGUUUUUGGUACAUUGAGUUUACGUGUAACUUUCACUUUUGAAGCAGACUGACAACUGCUUCAAUAGCCUGUAAACUAAUCAUUCAGUUUAUGGCAAGAAAAAUAAGGAUAAGUACUAUUUUAUCUUUGCCUGCAGUCUUUCAGGGUGAUGCACUUGUGGAUGGGUGGCUGCUACAUGACAAUGGCUAACCAUUUAAAACAUGCCUUCUGAUGCCGUAUCAUGCCCACAACGGAAAGGCAACGUGUCCUUAAUCGUGUAUUUAAUAGGGCCUGACCAGUCAGAGUAAAAGUUUGGAAUGCUAAAAAUGCAUUUUAGAUGUUUAGACCGGUCAGGUCUAAAUUAUAAUAUAGCCCUUAGAUAGUCAGCGCAUUCUUUGUGUCGUGUUAUGUUGUACACAAUAUUGCCAUGCGUCACAGAUGUUAUGUUGAUCUCAGAGACAUUAGAGAGCUUUAGACUGAGAGAGGCCGAACUGCAUGAGCCGUUUGAAGGCGAAAAGGCAGUGAGCGCACGGUAGCAAAGGAGUGCGGCUAGCUCCCUGAGCGAGUAUGCUCAACGUACAUCUGCUUAUUAGACAGUUGCACAUUUCAAAUUUAGCCUUAAUUUUUGCUGUGUCUGAUGUUGGUUUAUUAUAAUUUCAAUAUUUGAUAAAUAAACACAACAUAUGCUAUGUAUGUAAAUUAAAGAGGAACCUGUAUAAAUAUUUCUCAACUUAAAUAAAUACAACAUUAACCGGUAUUGAAAUUUCCCCCACGUGUUUCAGCUGUAUGUAAAACUAAACGCAUUUGAAUAUUAUUCUAAUAAUAAAGUAGGCUAGGUCGAUGCUGUAAACUGAACAUCAUAUGGCAGUGGGUUUCCAGAACUUCUUCAUCUAACAAAUGUUAAAUGUAUUAUGGUGUUUCACCAAAAAAUUUCAGCUGUUUACAAUUUUGUACCUUCACUAUUUGACAAAUUCUUAGCAUAAAAUUCAGGGGCAUUUUUACAGCGCGUGUAAUUUCAUUACCACUCGGUAAGGUCUUGUCUGAAAGGACUAUUGUGACAAAUACUAUCAUUUCCACUCGAUCUGAUAUAUGUGUUUACGGUGGUGUCCUUAAGUCUAGAAUAAGAUUAGUUUAAAUAUGAUUAAUGACCCAUGAAAUGGUGUGGUUAGCUUUAACUUCAAGUAAUUAUCCUUUCCUUGAAAACAAAAUGCUAUGCUUGAGAUGUGCGUCGGUUCCAUUAAGACAGUGUGAUUACCUCACGGACGUGGGCAGCGAGAUUUAAUUAGGAUGGUGAUAAAGAUAGUCUGUAAUGGCUGCCUCAGUAGAAGAGAAGAGGAGGAAAAUGACGACAGAUUGGGAUGGCCGGUAUGCCAUCCAGCCAAGUUAUGCCUUGGGGAGGCAGCAUGCCCCCAUACUUACACAGCAUCGAGAGUUUGCCACUUUUCAGGGUUCUCCGCAAUGACCACUCAGCCCUUAAAAACAAUAAUUUCCAUACAUUCUGACCUCAUUUCAACAGACAGAAUUCACAAACAACUUCACACAUCCACACAAUAAAGCUGUCCACCUCCUUCUUCUUUUUUCUGCCUGAUUACAUCAUCACAAAUGCUCCAUGUCCACAAAUAGGGUCUCCCCUUUGGACAUUUAAGGUACAUCAGCCAAUAAAAACAUCGGGUGCACAUGCAAAAUGACACAUAUAGAAGUGCAUUCGUUUAAAAGAGAAAAACUUUAACAUUCAUAUGUCUUCUUCACUAGUCCCUCUCCGGAUAGCGUGUCUGUCUGCAACACUUUUAGAUGAGCGACAGGUUAGGUUCGAUCCCCCCCCCGGACUCAGGAAAACCUCUCACUCAUUACACUGCCUUCCUGGGUAAUUAAAAAUAAAACAUUGAACUAUUGCUUUUGCAUCUGUAUAAGCAGGAAACUAAUUUAUAUUUCUGAAAUACAAAUAAAAUUCACCCACACUACACAGUUCCACUGAGUUUAACGUUGGCUACCUUGCUAACGACAAAAGAAAAAUGCUUGAAUCCAUAUGUGUUUCUUUCAGCUAGAAUAUGCAUGUUUGCAUGCAUGUAUGUGUAUGCAUGUCUCUCAGCCUACAUUUAUAUGAAUUACUAUUAUCACUAACUCAUAACAGAGUACCACAAGAAAUCAUACCUGAUGAAAAACACAUUUUCAACGUACAAAAAUGCGGAAGUUACUCUCACAAACAAAGCACAGUCUAUAAGUUAUUCAUUCAAAUCUAGGCCUGCCUUUAAAACAUUGAUAAAAAAUUACGCCAAGUUACAUGAAAUAAUAUUGCCUGCCUUAGCUCAGACAAAUUAAACAAGCUGUAUUCCAAAACAAUACUACCUGAUGUUUCCUAAAUUCUUUCAAGUAACUUGACCCUGUGUGUACAAGCAUACUGUGCAUUAAUGGGGCAAACAUGUGUGAACUGGUUUGUAAGAUUCUAUAUUUAUUUAAGAGGUCUCAAUAUGUGUAAUUUUUUAUCUGUAUUUAUGUAUUUACGCUGUCCCCCUUCUGUAGUAUGAAUGAUUGUAUGUUUCUUGGUAUAAAUGUCUGUUAAUAAAUGUGAAUGUUACAUGCUGCUAGGGAAAUGUUGCCAUGGGGAUAAUGAAGUAUUGUGUGUAUUUAUUGUAACCCAACGAUAGGAGGCGCCACCGGGGAGGGGUGAUGGGUGCAAUAAUUUAACACAAACACAAGAACGGAUAUGGUUAUCUCGAUCAACAUAACCGGAACUUUUAUUUUGAAAACAGGAAAACAAGCAACAAAAUAAUACAAACAAAACGCUAGCUCCAAGUGAGCCUAACUAUACGGGUCUUUUGGGCCCUGUCUAAAGUCGGGCAGCUAAGCUGCUUACCGACAAGACAAAUUGUAGAAAAAAGAGUGGUCAAAAAACAAGCACAGUUCGGUACACGGUUCAGUUCCUCACACAGAAAAUGGGUCAAAAGGUAAUCGGGCACUCAGACAGAAAACAGAUUAUUCACAGGUUCCAACACAAUAUCUGUAACACUCGCACAGUCUUUUCACAAAGAAAACUCCAAACUCCCCCACCUUCACAGCUGUAUGGGCUCCUACUUACACUGAGCUUGAUUAGGUAGAAUGGUUUUCAGGUGGGUUUAACAAGGGGGCGGAGCUGGCAAUUGGAAGGGGGUGGAGCCACUGGAAUGGAAAAUACUGGCCUUCCACUACAGCUCCCUUCAUGGCCUUACAGUAUGUACAGUAUUAUUUUACAAUCAGUAUGUAUUUGAAGUUGCAAAUAUACAAGGACUUUUAAAAUGAGCUUAACUUGAGAACAAAGUACACUGAACAAAAAUAUAAAUGCAAGACUUUAUCGAGUUCAAAGGUAAUAAACGUAAAUCAGUCAACUGAAAUAUAUUCAUUAAGCACUUAGAUAUUGAUUUCAUGUGAUUGGGGAUACAGAUAUGCAUUUGUUAGUCACAGAUUCCCCAAAAAAGAAGAUACCAUGAAAUGAUCAGAAUACCGAUCUGUAUCUUGUGUGACCACCAUUUGCCUCAUGCAACGCAACACAUCUCCUUCGCAUUGAAUUGAUCAAAUUGUUGAUUGUAGCCUGUGGAAUAUUGUCCUACUCCUCUUCAAUAGCUGUACGAAGUUGUUGGAUAUUGGAGGGAACUGGAACACGCUGUCAUAUGAGCCGGUCCAGAGCAUCCCACACAUGCUCAAUGUCUGGUGAGUAUGCAGGCUAUGGAAGAACUGGGACAUUUUCAGCCUCGAGGAAUUGUGUAUCGAUCCUUGCAGCAUGGGGCCAUGCAUUGUCAUGCUGAAACAUGAGGUGAUGGCAGUGGAUGAAUGGCACAGCAAUGGGUCUCAGGAUCUCAUCAAGAUAUCUCUGUGCAUUCAAAUUGCCACUUGAGUUCUCUGCCCAUAGGAUAUGCCUGCCCAUACCAACACCCCACCACCACCAUGGGCCACUGUGUUCAAAACCUUGACAUCAGCAAACCGCUCACCUACCCGAUGCCAUACACGCUGCCUGCCAUCUGCCCUGUACAGCUGAAACCGUGAUUCAUCAGUGAAGACCAUUCUCCGGUGUGCCAGUGGCCAUCGAAGGUGAGCUCUUGCCCACUCACGUCCAUUAUGACGCCGAACUGCAGACAAAUCAAGACCCCAGUGAGGACAUCGAGCACGCAGAUGAGCUUCCCUGAGGCGAUUUCUGGCAGUUUGUGCAGAAAUUCUACGGUUGUGUCAAUCAACUGUUGUGUCAUCAGCUGUCCGUGUGGCUGGCCUCAGACGAUCCCGCAGGUGAAGAAGUCGGAUGUGGUGGUCCUGGGCUUGCAUGGUUACACGUGGUCUGCGGUUGUGAGGCCUGUUGGACGAACUUCCAAAAUCUCUGAAACGACGCUGGAGAAAUGAACACCCAUUACUCUGGCAACAGCUCUACAGGUCAUUCCUGCAGUCAGCAUGCCAAUUGCAUGAUCUCUUAACUCUUGAGGCAUCUGUGUCAUGGUGUUGAACAACAAAAAACUCUCUUUAGGGUGGCCUUUUAUUGACCCCAUCAUAAGGAACACUUGUGUAGUGAUCAUGGCUUUUAAUCAGCAUAUUGAUAUGCCACACUUGUGCUGGAGAUUACAUUACAUUACAGGCAUUUUGCAUGAUCUAUUGUCGCUACAUCGUAGCUGACAAACAUUCCCACAAUAACUAAAGCUGGCCCUCCCAAAAAAGAUCUGUCACCAUAAUGCUCACUAGGAGAGAGGGUAAAUAUACCUAUAACCUUAAAUAUGUGUGUUAUAUUUUAGAUUGACCUGAACCAAUAAUUUAUAUUGAAGUAGUCAGCACUCCUUGGAUCCUUCCUGAUCAUUAAUUAACCCCUUUGGGCACAUGCCAAAUCUUGCCAAUCCUUGCCCAUUUAGGGGGUACCCUAUUUAAAGCUUUAUAACUCCAGAUGUGAGCAUCACAGACUUGAAAAAUGGCUUAAAUGUAGCAAGCCAGUGGUACCAUUUACAAGAAGAAAUAAAGUGCCACAAAGGCAAAUGUUCAGACAAAAAAACUAAAAAGAAUUUGCUUUUUUUUUUUUUGCUUGCACUGAAAUACUGAGAGAUCCCAUAUAUGCAGCAGGUUGAACUAUACAUGUCCUGGAUAAAAAACUUCUUGACCACAUGUUCAUAAAAUCUUAGGGUGGAUAUGUAGAACUACUACAGAUGUAUGGAGCAAAAACUAAGCUGUGUACCCAGCGUCUCCAAAUCUAUCCAAAAUGUCUAAAUUAUGCAUUGCUGUAAAUCACAACAUAUUCACGUAUUUCACUACAAAUCAACUGUUUUGACCCAAGAAACUCACUGUUGCAUCAUUUUCAAGUGAGAAUUACAAGCUUUCCGUAAGUACAGUGGUCUAAAAUAUCUAGGGGUCCAGAAACAUAUCCAUAAUCUCUCCAAAAAUGAAUAAGAUGUUUUUUGCCCAUUAUGAAGCAUAUAAAUGAGCCCCUUAUGAAGGUUUAAGAUGAAACAUCAGAU